AUUGAACGCUGGCGGCAGGCCUAACACAUGCAAGUCGAACGGCAGCACAGAAGAGCUUGCUCUUUGGGUGGCGAGUGGCGGACGGGUGAGUAAUGUCUGGGAAACUGCCCGAUGGAGGGGGAUAACUACUGGAAACGGUAGCUAAUACCGCAUAACGACGCAAGACCAAAGUGGGGGACCUUCGGGCCUCACACCAUCGGAUGUGCCCAGAUGGGAUUAGCUAGUAGGUGGGGUAAUGGCUCACCUAGGCGACGAUCCCUAGCUGGUCUGAGAGGAUGACCAGCCACACUGGAACUGAGACACGGUCCAGACUCCUACGGGAGGCAGCAGUGGGGAAUAUUGCACAAUGGGCGCAAGCCUGAUGCAGCCAUGCCGCGUGUAUGAAGAAGGCCUUCGGGUUGUAAAGUACUUUCAGCGGGGAGGAAGGCGGUGAGGUUAAUAACCUCGCCGAUUGACGUUACCCGCAGAAGAAGCACCGGCUAACUCCGUGCCAGCCGCCGCCGUAAUAC
rnacentral:rRNA from 1 species